rnacentral:tRNA from 1 species
GGAAGUGGCUCAGUGGUAGAGCACUUGCCUUGCAUGCAUGAGACCCUGGGUUCGAUUCCUCAGUACCA